rnacentral:lncRNA from 1 species
CUUUAACAGUGCUUUUUGGGAUCGCGGACAGCGCUCAAGGUGACAUUUGGGAGGCGAAUGCCAUGAGGAAGAAGACCCCUUUUCUUCCCGGAUGUUGUUGAGGCAUCCCCAGCCUGGCUCUUCUGGAAGCAAACCUGGUGAACUCCUGAGCCCUCCAGCAAGGCGGGCAGGGCCCGAAUGUCUGGAGAGGACUUUGGACCGUGUAGCGGGCACCUCCCUUGCUAGGGGGUGCAGGGUGAUGAGGAAGCUCUGGCCCCUGAGGUAGAGGAUGAAAAAGGACCCCGGUUCAAGUAACCAGAAUGGAAAAUGGCAUCUGACAGGAACUCCUGCCAGGAACCUCUCCCUGGUUAACACCCACACCCCAUACAAAACAACCCCUUGAAAGCAGGCCCCCUUGGCAACCGAGAAGAAGCUGGUGAAGACAUUUCGCCUGCGUCUGUGAGGUGGUAUCAGCAGGCAGGGCUGGGCCUGACAUGCACCCCUCCCUGUGCUUCUCGGAAAACUGGUGACUGUGUGUCAUCUGACCUUCAGCACAGAAGGUGGUGAUGUGGCAAGCCCAGGCUUGCUCCCUGGCGCCUGCUUAGCCCUGUUUCUCUGCCAGGGGAAGAUUCCGGCAGUGCGGCCUCCUCCAGGAUCUGCCCCAUCAGUCUCUUCCUGACUGUAUCUCCAGGGGUGGGUUGGGGUGGGGUGAUUUGGCCUGAAAGAACCGUGUGGAAAGAGGGAAUUGUCUGUCAAAAUGUUCUAGAAAGCUGGGCAGCUUAUG